UACAGAGGGUGCUAGCGUUGUUCGGAAUCAUUGGGCGUAAAGGGCGUGUAGGCGGUUUGUUAAGUUAUGUGUGAAAUCCCGGGGCUCAACCUCGGAACUGCCUUUGAUACUGCGAAUCUUGAGUCCGAUAGAGGUGGGUGGAAUUCCUAGUGUAGAGGUGAAAUUCGUAGAUAUUAGGAAGAACACCGGUGGCGAAGGCGGCCCACUGGAUCGGUACUGACGCUGAGGUGCGAAAGCGUGGGGAGCAAACAGG
rnacentral:rRNA from 1 species